CUUUUAUAGUGUGUCAAAGUCUAGGGUUACAUCCAUGUAAACCCUAAUGGACAUGACCUUUCAUAUUAGUUAGGAUCUAUGGGUUAAACCUGCAUGGACUAUGCAUGGACUACCAUAUUGGUUUAGUCCAUCAUAAAUAACCAUAGGCCCACACUAUAAGAAUUAUUGAUUUACCAAAUCAAUGCAUGCACAUUUAAUUAGUCUCUUUUGAUCACUAGAUUAAUUCCAAAUUAAUUCUUGAUCAAUACUAAUUAAAUAAUAUGAUUUCAUAUUAAUAUAUUAGAACUUAUAAUAUAUUAAUAAAUCAUAAAUAACCUUUUCUCAAAAGUCCAUCCUGUCAAAUUGUUCUGGUGAAAUGCAACCCAAAUGGACCAUGCUACUCUCGGGUCAAGUACAUACCAAUCAUAGUUAUGGGCUUAGACACCUAAUACUACAGUGUCUCACUUGGAUAAGUCUAAUAACUAUAAUUGUAAGUACGACUUAAAACACCGACUAGCAAUCGUAGCUCUUAAAAGCCUCUGUCAAACUCUGACAUGCCAUUUAGAUAAGGGAUCAUAUAAUCCUCUGUUCUUCAAGAUAUCAGCCGGAAAAAUACAUGGAACAAUGUCUUACUUAUUGUCCAACAGUUUGGUUCUCGAUUUUCGAUUUGUUUGACAUAGAACUUAAUCGAACACAUCAAUUGAGUUCUGACCGGGCCCGACAGAUAAGCCAAAACAAAAUUAUCGAGGGGCCCAAGAUAUCGCUUUUAAUCCUCCAAGGCCUAAAAGGAACAGAUAAACUUCGACAAUAUAUGCUUGUACUAACUACUCGUUAAAUCAUACACAAUAGUGUGUUUUAUAACAUCAAGUUACUAAUGUGGUUUCGCACUAUCAAUGUACAACCAACUUAUAGUCAACUACUCAUAUAUCUUGGUUUGAAGACUUAUAUGAUGUUAUCGUCUCACUAUCACUCGAGAUAAAUUCCAUGAAGUGAUACAAGUGAGCAUGGGUUUAAUCCAAUACUCAGACCUUAUGAGCACUCAUGAAUGUUGUAGUAAACUUUGCUAUGUCUAAUACACUUCAGACAAUCUACAAGCCAAAUUCAUGAUAGUCUUGCCUCAAUACCUACUUCCAAAGUAUGAUCGACUGUGGAUAGUUUGAAUAAUAUAAUUAUUCUGGAAGUCAAAACAUGAAAAAUGAAACAAUAGUAAAUGAUUGACACAAGAUAGUAACAUUACUUAUAAAUAAAAAACACCUUUUAUUUAAUCAUCAAAUGUCAAUUACAUUUCAACUAUUACAAGUUUCUAAACAGCUAUCUAUUCAUUAAACUAAUAUCGUCCUUCAGCCCAAUACGCCUCGCAUGCUGUAAGUGCUUAACCCUACUCAGUACCUUUGUGAGGGGAUCUGAUGGGUUCUCCUCUGACGAUAUCCUCUUUGAUACGAGGAGUCCUUCUUCUAUUCGAUGUCUCAUGAAGUGGUAUUUUCUAUCGAGGUGCCUGGAUCUGCCAUGAUCCAUUGGUUCCUUGGCUAAGGCAACCACACCCUCGCUGUCACAGAAAAUCUCCAUAGGCUCCUUUAUAGCUGGUACAACUCCAAGGUCUCCGAUGAAGUUCUUCAACCAUAUUGCCUCCUUCGCCACCUUGCUUGCUACUAUGUACUCUGAUUCGCACGUUGAAUCAGCUACUGUCUCCUAAUUGGAACUUUUCCAAGUUAGUGCUCCUCAAUUCAGGGUAAAUACCCAGCCCGAAUGAGAGCGAAAAUUAUCUCUGUCAUUCUGAAAGCUGGCGUAACUAUACCCCGUUACUCUUACGUCAUCCCUCUCACCGAGGGUAAGGACCUAGUCCUUAGUCCUCAGUAGGUACUUGAGAAAGUUCUUUACCGUAGUCCAAUGAGCCUUACCAGGAUUCCCUUGAUAUCUGCUGACCAUGCUCAAAGCAAAGGCCACAUCAGGGCUAGUACAAGUCAUAACAUACAUGAUCGACCCAACUACGGAAACAUAUGGCACUCGACUCAUCUCAGCUAUCUCAGCCUUUGUACUCGGACUCUGAGUUUUACUCAGUUUGGUAUUGCCUUGGAUGGGUAAGUCACCUUUCUUGGAAUCCAUCAUGUUGAACCUUUUCAACACGUUUUCCAAGUAGGUACUUUGACUAAGUCCAAUUAGUCUUUUACUCCUGUCUCACAAUAUCCUUAUCCCUAGAAUAUAGGCAGUUUCUCCAUGGUCCUUCAUAGCAAAACAGUUCCUAAGCCAGGAUUUAACCUCCUGCAAGGUUGGGAUGUCAUUUCCUAUGAGAAGUAUGUCAUCCACAUACAAAACCAGAAAGCUAACUGUACUCCCACUAGCCUUGACAUACACACAAGAAUCAUCCUUGCUUCUCGAAAAUCCAAACUCUUUGAAUUUCUUAUCGAAAAAGAUUCUGUCUGUGAGAUGCUUGUUUCAAUCCAUAAAUGGAUUUCUCAAGCUUACACACUCUAUUAGGAUACUUUGCAUUGAUAAAACCCUCUGGUUGACUCAUGUAAACAUCCUCAACCAAUUUUCAAUUUAGGAAAGCGGAUUUGACAUCCAUUUGCCAUAUUUCAUAAUCAUGAAAUGGAACUAUGGCUAGCAUAACCCUACUAGAUUUAAUCUUCACCACUGGCGAGAAGGUCUCAUCAUAGUCAACUCCUGGAGUUUGACUAAAGCCCUUCGCAACCAUUCGUGCCUUAUAUGUGUGUACUUUCCCAUCCAUGUCGGUCUUUUUCUUGAAGAUCCAUUUGCACCCGAUUGUAUUACGACCAAAUACAUUGUCAACCAAGUUCCAAACUUGAUUGUCACACAUGGACUGAGUCUCGUUGUCCAUAGCCUCUUUCCAUUUAGCAGAUUCGAGGCCUGCCAUGGCUUCCUUGUAGUUGUUAGGUUCAUCCAAAUUUAUCACUGUGCUAUCACUGAUAAAUGUAUCACCCUCAGAUGUUAUAUGGAAACUGUUGGAUUAGGUGUCUAAGCACAUAACUAUAAUUGGUAUGUACUUGACCCGAGAGUAGCAUGGUCCAUUUUGGGUUGCAUAUCACCAGAACAAUUUGAUAAGAUGGACACUUGAGUUAGAGGUUACUUUGAUUUAUUAAUAUAUUAUAAGUUCUAAUAUAUUAAUAUGAAAUCAUAAUAUUUAAUUAGUCUUGAUCAAGAAUUAAUUUAGUGAUCAAAAGAGACUAACUAAAUGUACGGGGAUUGAUUUGGUAAAUCAAGGAUUCUUGUAGUGUGGGCCUAUGGUUAUUUAGGAUGGGCUAAACCAAUAUGGUAGUCCAUGGAUAGUCCAUGGAGGUUUAACCCAUGGAGUCUAAGUAAUAUGAAAGGUCAUGGGUAUUAGGGUUUGCAUGGAUGUAACCCUGGACUUUGCCACACUAUAAAAGGACUCCCUUAGCACCUAAAAUCGGCUAUUAGAGUUCUUGGAGUUCAUUAGAGCCGAUUUUGGAGCUAGCAACAUCUCUCUCAAGUUCUCAUUUGUCCUAGGUGGGUUGUGAACCGUUUGAGGCAUCACACUUGGGGUGCUAAGUUCUUAAAGGCCAAAUACAACAAGUUCUACAAGCUACAUAAAGAGGUAAACUCCUAACUAGUAUUUUAUGUUGUUUAUGUCAAUUGUAUGCUAGUUGUAGGAUUAAUGCUUUGGAAACAAUAUUGCAUGUAUAAUUAGAGAAAACAAAGAUCCAAAGCAUUUAGGGUUGUAUGUGCACCAUAGCAUGUUGUAGUAUACUAAAACCCAACAGUGGUAUCAGAGGCAUGGGUUGUUUUUUGUUAUAUUGAUGCAAAUGUUUGAUUUUCAAAGUUGAAAAAAAAAACAUGAAGUUUGUCAAAUUUUAAGAUAAGUACUUGAUUUUAUGAAAAACUAAUUAUUUGUAAAAUUUGAGUCAUUUUACUAAACGAGUUGAAUUAGGUCAAUUUAUUAAAAGAUAGAAUGAUAUGAUUAUUUUAUUUGUUUUAAAAGUUUGAUCUAAAUUUUUUUAAGGAGUUACAAAUUUUGUCAUAAAAUUUUGGAACUCCAAAGUCUUUUUUAAAAGUUAUGAUCUUAAGAGUUUUGAAACUUCCAUCAGUUGUAACAUCCGGCAUUCCAGGUAUCAUAAUUUAAUUAUAUAUUUUGGGUGCAGAAGAGAGACUCGGCGAGUUGGCACUUAAACUUGUCGAGUAGGAUCGCGACCUGCUGACUGGAUUAAUGAAUGGACUCGACGAGUCGGUAAGGCGACUCGAUGAGUCCGAGCUGUGGACAGAAAACCCUAAAUCUUUGGGCAUGUGCUCUAUUUAAGGGCCCUUAUAGCUCUCAGUUGCGGCUAUAAUUCCAGAGAAAAGAACCCUAGUGAGGUUGAGAGUAUAGUGUGAGAGGAGGAGCCAUCUUGAGCCUUUUUGGUGUGAUUUUUCAAAGGAAGAGAAGGGAUUCAGCAGGAAGGACCAAAGGAGUUUGUGAUUCUGAGACAUUCAAGAAGGGAUCUCCAUUUUGAGGUAGUGAUUCGACCCUUUCUUCCAUUUUGUGUAGAAUCCUUGAACCUACGGUUUUCUUUACACUUUCUUGGUUAGAAUAUGAUGCAUAUGAGGUCCCAUUGAGAAAUAGACACUGGAUCUGGACCUUGAGAGGUCCAGAGAGCACCAACCUUCCAACUUUAUUCUGUUCCAUUGGAAUUGUGAAACUAGGUUGCUAUUUUAGGAGCUAUUUCUUAAAAUAAGGCCAUAUGAGUGUUGCAUGAGCUCAAAGAUUGGACCUUUACGUGAUUAUUAGGUGUUAGAAGGUCAGAUCUAUAGGUUGGAGAAAUAGAUAUGACCUCAGAAGGUCAUUUGAGUGUUGCCAUGGAGGGAACUCGCCGAGUCCAUAAGGGGACUCGACGAGUCGAGUCGGGUUGCCCCGCGAUUCGUGAUCUGUGGUAACCUGUGGAGUGAAGGGUUAACUCGACGAUCUGAGUGGGGGCAUAGGAGGAUUCAUAGGACACACAUGGACUCGCCGAGUCACCCAGGUGCACUCGACGAGUCUGGUCAAAGUUGGACCGUUGUCUAGAGUUGACUUCGGUUGACCUUGGGGUUUUGUUCAAGCUGAUUCAAGAGAGGUCAGAGAAGGGUAGAAUGGUCUUCUAUCAAUUAUUAGAGAUGAGGACAUGAGAGAGUAUUGAUUAGAGAUGUUAUCAUUUUGGAUAGGAGGAGGCUAGGUCGGGAUAUCGAGCAUGAGAGUUUAUCUGACUUCAUACGAGGUGAGUCUUCUCACUAUACUUUACCUUGAGUGGUAGUUAUGUGUGACCGGAAGGUCUUAUGUGCUUACAUUGAGUAUUAUGUUAUCCUGUUGUAUGUGACAUGCUAUGCAUUAUGUCUUUGUGAUUUAUGCUAUGCGGAGUUAUAGACCGGACCGGAGGGUCCAACGAUUUAUGAGGCCGAAAGGCUCAAGCAGACCGGACCGGAGGGUCCAACGAUCUAAGGAUCGGAAGGUCCACAGAGUUAGGGCCAGAGGGUCCAUAGAGUUAGGGCCAGAGGGUCCAUAGAGUUACGACCGGAGGCUCCAUAGAGUUAGGACCAGAGGGUCCACAAAGUUAUAGCCUCGAGUGGCUAAUAAGUGUUGUAUGUGGUAUUUUGGGGAAGUCACUAAGCUUCAUGCUUACCGUGUUAUGUGUUAUGUGUUUCAGGUUUUCUCAGUAUCUCGGGACGACACUGGUUUGAUUGUACACACCAGUGAAAGAAUUACGUUUCGAGGAUCCUGGAUUAUUAAGUAAUUAAGAAGGGAUUGUGUUUUGUAAACUAAACAAAUGAUGUUUUUGAUGGGUUUUAUACAAAAGAACAUCCUAUGCGCUCAUGCAAAACCCUAAAGCUUAGAUCUAGGCUUCUCUAUUGUACAUGUAAUAAAUCCUAGAAUUGUAACCCUAGAUCUAGCAUGUAUAAUUUGAAAUUAACACUAUAAGAACAAAUCUAAGUGAUUACCUCUUUCAAUUGGCUUGAAAUCCUUUGAUUCUUCUUGUUCUUGAGCUUAGAGUCACAAGUGUCACUCGUCUAAUGGCUUACAAACACCACACAAGCAAGAAGGCAAUUAUGAGAGAGGAGGGAGGAUGCUAAAAUCGGCCCUAGGGUUUCUCUUGGAAUCAAGUGGCCGAAAAUUACAAGCAGGGGUCUAUAUUUAUACUGUAGGCUACUAGGGUUUUAGGUAAAACCCUAAUUGACAACUUAAUCACCAAGUAGCCCAUGAAACCUUCUGGAAUGGGGCCUAUGGACGCAAAUAUGAUGGAUCCCCAUCAUAAUUUCGUUCCUCCUUUAAUCCAUUAGGUUUCCUAGCCCAAAAACUCAACUAUCAUACAUUUGACAGUUUAAGCCCCUUUAUUCAUUUAAUCUCUUUUAGUCACCAAAUUAAUUCCUAAUGACCAAUAUUAAUCAAAUAAUAUAAUUUCUCCUUUAAUAUAUUAUUCUUAUAAUAUAUUAAUAAAUCAUAAUAUCUCCUCUCUCUCUCUCUCUCUCUCUCUCUUAAAUUACCUUGUCAAGUUUCUUUGGUGAAGGAAACCCAAAAGGACCAUGCACAACCGGGUCAAGAACAUACCAAAUAUAGUUACGGACUUAGACACUAAUCCAACAGUCUCCCACUUGAAUAAGUCUAGUAGCUAUAUCUCACAUAUGACUUCAGGAUUCGAUUAGCAAUCGUAGCUCUUAUACGCCACUAUCAACUCUGAUUAGUAACUUAUCCUUCAGAUAAGGGAUCGUAUAAUCCUCUGUUCUAGAUAUCAUGCUUACAAUACUUAUUGUUAAGCAUUUUGUUUCUCGAUAUCUGAUUCGUUUGACAUAGAACUUAGUUGAACACAUCAACUUUGUUCUGACCGGGACCGACACAUAAGUCAGACCAAAUCAUCGAGUGGCCAAGAUAUCACUUUUAUCCUCUAAGAAUAAAAGGAAUAGAUUAACUUCGAAUCACAUGCUUUUACUAUUUACUAAUUAAAUCAUGCACACCAAUGUGUUUUAUAACAUCAAGUUACUAAUGCGUUUACACACCAUCAAUGCAUAACCAACCGGCAAACAAUAACCAUAUCUCUAAGUUUUAAGACUAUAAGAUAUUAUUGCCUUGCGAUCACUUGAGAUAAAAUUCCAUGAAGUGAUACCAGCAAACGCGUGUUUAUUCCAAUGCUCAAAUCAUAAUUCAUAGGCACUCAUGAACUUUGCAACAAACCAUUGCUAUGUCUAAAACCUUUUAGACAAUCUACAAAAAAAUUCAUGACAGUCUUCUUUCAUAUCUACUUCCAACAUAUGAGUGACUGUGGACCGUUUGAAUAAUCCUAUUAUUCAGGAAGUCAAAACAUGCAAAACUGAAACAAUAGAUAAAUAACUAACACAAGAUAGUAACCUUACUCUUAAAUAAAACACCUUUUUAUAUCAAAUGCCAAGUACCAAUUAUCUAUUACACGAUUCCUGUCUAUCUAAUCUAAACUCAUAUCGUCCUUUAGCCCAAUGCUCCUAGCGUGCUGUAGGUGCUUAACCCUGCUCAGUCCCUUUGUAAGGGGAUCUGCUGGGUUAUCUUCUGACGAUACCCUCUUCACUAUGAGGAGUCCCUUUUCUACCCGAUGUCUAAUGAAUUGGUAUUUUCUGUCGAUAUGCCUGGAUCUACCGUGAUCCCUUGGUUCCUUGGUUAAGGCAACCGAUCCUUCAUUAUCACAGAAAAUCUCCAUGGGCUCCUUUAUGGACGACACAACUCCAAGGUAUCCAAUGAAGUUCUUCAACCAUGUUGCCUCUUUUGACGCUUCACUCGCUGCAAUGUACUCUGAUUCACAUGUUGAAUCAGCCACAGUCUCUUGCUUGGAACUUUUCCAAGUCACUGCUCCUCCAUUAAGGGUAAAGACCCGGCCUGACUGCGAACGGUAAUUAUCCUGAUCCGUCUAGAAACUAGCGUCACUGUAACCUCGUACCCUUAAGUCAUCACUCCUACCGAGGAAUAGAAACCAUUCCUUGGUCCUCCGAAGGUACUUAAGAAUAUUCUUAACUGCGGUCCAAUGGGCUCUACUAGGGUUUCCCUGAUAUCUGCUGACCAUGCUCAAAGCGAAGGCCACAUCAGGGCGAGUACAAGUCAUAACUGAUGGGUUUUGAGCAUUCUAACACUUCCUAAGUGUACAUGCAACCCUAAUAACCUUGGAUCUAUGUUUGUCUAAUUUGUCAUGCAAAGUUGAAUUCCAAGGUUAUAUCCUAUCUAGCAUACAUGGGGAACAAUUUUAACUUGAAUCAUAGAUAGAAUAACUUACCUUGUUGUUGCUUGUGUUCCUUGAAACCUUGUGAGCCUAGCACCCCAAGUGUGAUGCCUCAAAUGCUUCACACAACACCAAAUGCUCUUGGAAGAACUUAUGAGAGAAUACACACUCUUCAAAAUCGGCCAAGCCCCCUUAUUCCUUAGUGUGUUCAACUUGUGUAGCCGAUUUUGGUGGAGAAUAUGAUCCUUAUAUAGUGUUGACACAUCUAGGGUUACACCAUGUAAACCCUAAUGUGUCAUGACUCUUCAUUUCCAUGACCCAUGGGUUUGUAACUCCCAUGGAGCAUCCAUGGAGCAUCCUAUGGGUAGAACCCAACUUGAUAAUCCAUGGAGCCUCUUAGCCCACUAUACAAGAUAUGGAUGAUUUACAUAAUCAACCCAUAUAUUUAAUUAGUUAUCCUUUGAUCACUUAAUUAAUUCCAAAUUAAUUCUUUGAUCAACUAAUCAAAUAAUAUUAUUAAUAUAUUAGAACUUAUAAUAUAUUAAUAAUCUCCAAGUGUUAUUUCUCUCAUUUAGUCUAUCCAAUUGCAUGGUGCCAUGCAACCCAAAUGGACCAUGCCGGGUCGGGUCAAGUACAAGCCCGAAAUAGUUAUGGACUUAGACACCUUAUCCAACAGUCUCCCACUUGGAUAAGUCUAAUAACUAUAUCUCUAGUACUUCAGGAACCGACCGGCAAUCGUAGCUCUUUCAAGGUCUCUCGGAACUGAGAAGAUGAUGGUACGCCAUUUAAGAUAAGUGAUCAUAUAAUCCUCCGUUCUAGAUAUCAGCCGGACAAAUACAUGGAACAUUGUCUUGCUUAUUGUCCAGCAUUUGUUUCCCGAUUUCCGAUUUGUUUGACAUAGAACUUAAUUGAACACAUCAACUUAGUUCUGACCGGGCCCGGUACAUAGGUCAAAACAAAAUCAUCGAGGGGCCCAGAUAUCAGCUUCUAAUCCAAGAAGGAACAGAUAAACUUCGACUCAUAUGUUUGUUCUACUACUCAUUGAAUUACACAUAAGAGCACGAUUUUAUAACAUCGAGUUACCAAUGCGUUUUUCGUACAAUUAAUGCAUAACCAACUCGUAAGUAACAAAUCAUAUCUCUAGGUUUGAAGACUUAUAUGAUAUUACCGUCUCACGAUCACUCGAGAUAGAAUUCCAUGAAGUGAUUCCAGUGAGCGUGGGUUGAGUCCAAUGCUCAGAACUUAUGAGCACUCAUGAUUGUUGUAGCCUUGUCCUAGACCUCUACAACCAAACAUGACAGUCUUGAUUCAUACCUACUUCCGACAUAUGACCGACUGUGGAGGUUUGAAUAAUAUGUUAUACCAAACAAAAUUAUUCUGGAAGUCAAAACAUGCAAAAGAAAUAUAGUAAACGAUCGACAAGAGAUAGCAACACUUUACUCAUAAAUAAAACUCCUUUUAUUCAUCAUCUGAUGUCAAUUACACUUUACAAAUUUCUGGGUUAUCUAACUACUAAAUCUAAUAUCAUCCUUCAGCCCUAUGCUCCGAGCAUGCUGAAGAUGCUUAACCCUAGUCAGUCCCUUCGUGAGGGGAUCUGCUGAGUUCUCAUCCGAUGAUACCCUCUUUGCCACGAGGAGUCCUUCUUCGAUCCGAUGUCUGAUGAAAUGGUAUUUUCUGUCGAUGUGUCUGGCUGAUUCAUGUAAACAUCCUCAGCCAACUUUCCAUUAAGAAAAGCGGUUUUCAUGUCCAUCUGCCAUAUUUCAUAAUCAUUAAACGCAGCUAUUGCGAGCAUUACCCUAAUAGACUUUAUCUUCACAACUGGUGAGAAGGUCUAAUCAUAGUCAACUCCAGGAGUUUGAGUAAAGCCCUUCGCAACCAAUUGCGCUUUAUAAGUGUGCACAUUCCCAUCCAUAUCUGUCUUCUUCUUGAAGAUCCAUUUGCACCCGACUGUCUUACGAACCGACACAUUAUCAACCAAAUUCCAAACAUGGUUGUUGUACAUGGACUGAAUCUUGCUGUCCAUUGCCUCUUUCCAAUUAGCAGACUCCGGGCCUGCCAUGUCUUCCUUGAAGAUGCUAGGUUUGUCCAAAUUUAUUAGUGUUUCAUCACUAAUAAACAUAGCCCCUUCAGUAGUAAUAUGAAAACCAUAAAACUGGGGUUGAACACUAACCCUACUGGAAUGUCUAAGAGGUAAGGACUCGUCAAUUGGAUCAACAGGAGUUUCCUCCUCGGGUUGAGUUCUAGUGUUAGAGGUUCCUUCAUCGCUUUGCUCUUGAAUCUCUUCAAGAUCAAUUUUCCUCCCACUGUCUUCUUGGCUUAUGAGUUCUCUUUCACGGAAAACCCCUCUUCUCGCAAAAAAGAAAACAUUGUCACUCGAUCUGUAGAAGAGAUAGCCAAAAGACUUGUGUGGAUAGCCGAUGAAAUAACACUUCUCACUACGAGGUUCGAUCUUGUCGUGAGUCUCUCGUCUUACAAAAGCCUUGAUAAGUGCCAACGAGGGAGCUUUCCAUGUCUAUAUCUCGUGAGGUGUUUUGGCAACCUUCUUGGUGGAAACUAUGUUAAGGAUAUGGGCGGCAGUCUCUAAGGCAUACCCCCAAAAAGCUAUUGGUAAUGAAGCCCGACUCAUCAUAGAACGAACCAUGUCCAAAAUGGUCCGAUUAUGUCUCUCAGCCACACCAUUCAAUUGUGGCGUUCUUGGAGGCGUCAAUUGCGAGACAAUUCCACAUUCAUUUAGAUAGUCAUGAAACUCAAGACUUAGGUACUCUCCUCCUCAGUCUGACCGAAGCAUCUUGAUUUUCCUGCCCAGCUGCUUCUCCACUUCAUUCUUAAACUCUUUGAACUUUUUAAAGGUUUCUAACUUAUGCUUGAUUAAGUAGAUAUAUCCAUAUCUGCUAUAAUCAUCUAUAAAAGUGUUGUAGAAGUGGCAAGCAUCCCUUGUGGUGGAUCUAAAGGGCCCACACACAUCAAUGUGUAUGAGGAGGAAACCAUUGAGACGGUUGGGAUAGUGCAAUCGAUGUACUUGGAGGUCCAACUGAUGGGUCGAGAACAGACCUGGUACUUAGUGUUAAAAGGGGUAUGAGGAAUGGAGCUUGUUAGGGUGCAAAGUCAUGAUUGGAUGUAGUGUUUAGGCUUUCCUCUUUGUAUGUGUAAAUGGGUUGAGUCUUUUCCUAUAAAUAGGAAGUGAGUGACUCCCAUUAUGUAAGGAAUCAUUUGGAGUGUUAGACUAGAGAGAGAAAUUGUAUACAAACCCAUUUGUAUAAUCUUUCUAGAUCUAAUAAGAGCUUACAAAGAUUUAUUUACUCCUUAUGUUCUUGAAUUUGUAUGAUUAAUCACUAGAUCUUUCUAAUUCUGCACAUGCCAUCAUAAUCAACACCACUACAAUUGGUAUCAGAGCGGGUGUUGUUGAUUUGAUCAAGAGUUGAUCCUUGAUGGCUAUCUUGAUUUGGUGAUUCUUAUUGUUCAUUGAUCUUCGUGUUUAGAGAGUGUUUUUGUGUUCUAGAAGUCGAAUUUUUCUUUGAUUUGAUCCAUAAUUCGACUUUCUCUCUCUAGAAUACUUGUUUGUAUCACUUUAUCUCUCUAGAAAACCCAUUCAAAAUCACUUUCUCUCUCUAGAAUUCUUCAAGUUUUUGUGAUCAUGGUGGGUUUGCCAUAUGAUUCUUGAAUUGUGAUCGUUAAAGAUGUGAAAUACAAAGUCAAUAAAGAUCAAUUUUAUGGGUUGUUGUUAAGCAAAUUGAUUUCAUGGGGUAAUUUGGUUUCUUAUGGAGGUUUGAAGGAUGAUCAUGGAAGCUUGGUAUUUCAACCACUUUGUAAGAUUGCAUGGUUGAAUAAAAUUGCCUUGUCCAUAUUAGUUCGUAGUAGAAAUCAAAAGGAAGGAGAAGAAAGAGAUUUGUUCAAUAAGAAAUAUGUUUCUCUUAUUGAAGACCCAAAUGAUCUUCGUGCUCUUAAAUUUCUUGAAGUUCUUGACAAUGGAGUUCAAUGUGAUGUUCUUGAUGUUCAAGAAAAAGGAGUUCAAGUUGAUUCUCAAGAUGAAAAAGUUUUAUUCUCAAUUGGAGUUCAAACUGAUGAUAUUUUGUGUUCUUGUGAUUCGUUUGAAGGAAUGAUUCCUUAUCGGAAGCCGGUGAUCCAAGAAAAUCACAAGUAUCAAACCCCAAAAGAUUUGAUUCAAACUCAAAAUGUUCAUGUUGUUGAAAGUGGGUUUGUUCAUGAAGUCAAGUCUUCAAGAUGCAAAAAGAUGAGAAAGAAAAAGAAGAAGAAGAUGAAUCGGAAGAAUAAGCGGGUUUACUCACAAAAAUCGUCAUAUGUUAUGAAGGCAAAAUCCGUGAAGCAAAUUUGGGUUACAAAGCAACAAUCUCCAAGUGUUGAAUUGAAUUUGAAGUCAAAACCCAAAUGUGUUGGUGGUUCUUUUGAAGAUGUUCUUGGAUCGUUGAAGAACACGAAGAACGAGUUGUACAUCUCGCAUGGUGGGUGGUACAAUGUUCGAUUUGGAGAUUUUCUCAUUCCGACAAAAGAACCAAGAUCUUCCAAAUUUGAUUCGUUUGUUGAAAACGGAACUCGAUUCAUCAAAAAGGUAUCUCAAAUUCUCAAAUGGAUUCCAAAACAUCCAUGAUUUCGAUUCAUACUUUGCGUUUUUCAUUUUGAUCGAUUUGUUUCGUUGGAUCUAAUCCGUUUCAACCCCAUUGGUGAUCCAACUAUUUUUUUUUAGAUCAAGCCCAAACUCAAAUACUGUUCAUCAAUUCAAAUUUUGUUUGUAUUGAGCCCAAAUCACAUGUUCGAUAAUGUUCAAAUACCAUUUUUGUCCCAAAAUCAUUCCAAUUUAAAUCAUAAUUGAACUCGAUAUCUUCAGUUCGUGACUUGUUUCUAUUAUCGCAUCUUGUUGUUCACGACUCAAAUCAAAAUCGAUUAUGAUUUUGUUAUUUCACUAUUUUUCUUGAAUCGAUUUGUUCAUAUCGAUUUGAAUCGAUUUCGUUCAUAUCAAAAUCAAGUUCGACCGAUAUCUUAUGAAUCCAGGAUUUAAAAUUGAAAACGAAUCAGAUGAGUACGAAAUCGAUUUGAUGUCUAUCACAGUUGAAGUGGUUUGAUUUGUACUGGAAUCGACAGAAGAAUAUUGAAGGUUUGAUAAUACUUCAACUGAAAUCGAAUUUGAUUUGGAAUCGAUGAUUGAUGCUUUUGAUUUCGAAGCUUAAGAUUCAUCGAUGUGUACAAUUGUUAAUGUCGAUAGUCAAAAGAGAAUGGGUUUGAGUCCAAGUCGUUUGUGAUUAUUGAAUAUGGAAAGCGAGUUCGUCUGAUGAACGGAUAGUCAAAAUUGAAAAAGUUAAAAUUGAUUCUUUUGUUCAGUAAAUCAAAAGAAUUGAUUAUUCAAGUGAAUCGAAGGGAAGUCCAGUAAUAACGAAGCGUUGUUUUUGAGUAAGGUUCAAAUUUGAUUGACAAUAGUUAUUUUGGAUCAUUGUAUUGUCCAUUGGGAAGACUUGAUUUUUGAAAAGAAAAAGCUUGGAGUCACAUAGUCGAUAGUUGAUUUGCGGGAAAAAAAAGUUGAAUUCAAUGGUUAAAUGCUUUAAAUAGGGUUCGAUGGUCGAUGAAUGAUGACGAACAGUUGAUUAAUGGUCAUAGUUUUGGAACGAAAUGGAAGUUGAUAUGUUAUGUCGAUUGCUUGAGAACGAAGACUGGGAAUCGUUUUGAGUAUUUGAUUGUGAUUGGGUUUGCAUUGACUUUUUGGAGUCAAAAUCAAUGUUCUUGAGAACUUAGAACUGAAAUUGAAAUCAGAUGGGUCAAGAAAUCGAUUUUGGCUGAUGGCUUGAUUUCCAAGAUCUUUUGAUCGAUGGUUUGUUUUGGUGUUAAUGGCUUCGCUAUCUGAUCGAUUUGAGCUCACGAUUUGGUUCAUAUGAGAAUCGUGUUUACAGUCGAAUGGUUACAGGUCGAUGUCAAAUGGGAAGCUGUGUGGGUUUAUUUUCGUUAGAAUUGGGAAGAUGAUAGAAUAUUUCACAAUUGGUCCCUGUUGAUUCUGCAAAGUUACAUCUUUCACCCAGUUUCGACAAAAUGGGUGUUUUUGUUAUGUUUGUGAAGUGAAGAAUGCAGAAGUUUUGAAAUGAGUCCCUGCAGUUUCGAAAUAUUGGCAGAAAAUACCCAACUUCGAAAUUGGGCAAAUUUUUUGAGAAAUUGAAGAAUGUUCAUUUCUUGUCCCUGCAGUUUGUGCAAAUUGACGCUUUCUACCCAGCUUUGGAAAAGGGGGAGAGUUUUGCAUAUUUGGCUGUUUUGGACGCAACGGGUCCCUGCAAGUUUCAGAAAGUGACAAUUUCUACCCGGAUUUUGAAAAAUCUUGCAACUUUCACCCAAAAAGUCAAAAAUUUUCAUAAAUUGGAAAUUUUUUGUGGCUUUUUCGUGAUUGUUUUUCCGUGCAAGAUUUUUGGUGAUUCAUUUUUGGUACACAUCAAGGGGGAGUAUUGUGAAGAUUAUUCCUCGGGCGCUUCUCAUCCUUAGUGGGUUUUAUAAUCUUUUUUUGAUUAUAAAAAGGGGGAGAAUGAUGGGUAUUCGAAGCUUCUCGGGUUUGACGAAUAUUCAUUUGCAGAUUUGAAGACCGGUGUUACUUCGAGGGGGAGUUUGGUCUUGAUCGCGCUAGCUCGUUGGAGAUUAAAGCCGGACAUCCAAUACUAACUUUAAGGGGGAGAAUGUUAGGGUGCAAAGUCAUGCUUGGAUGUAGUGUUUAGGCUUUCCUCUUUGUGUGUGUAAAUGGGUUGAGUCUUUCCUAUAAAUAGGAAGUGAGUGACUCCCAUUAUGUAAGGAAUCAUUUGGAGUGUUAGACUAGAGAGAGAAAUUGUAUACAAACCCAUUUGUAUAAUCUUUCUAGAUCUAAUAAGAGCUUACAAAGAUUUAUUUACUCCUUAUGUUCUUGAAUUUGUAUGAUGAAUCACUAGAUCUUUCUAAUUCCGCACAUGCCAUCAUAAUCAACACCACUACAGAGCUGAGGCUUAUGAUUUUGAUGUCUGAGGACAUUUCUGAGCGAGCACGAUUAUUCUCUUGUGUACGAGGGCAGAGUGUUGAGAAUUCUUUGUUUGGAUGGGUUCCGAUAGCAGUUCAGUGGAUGAGCCCUGGUGGGACGUGAACUGUUCCGUUUCUUGGGGCGUGAUUCAGAUCGUUGCUAUGUUUGGUAUGAGUGAUCGGUAGCCGAUUGUUGUAUUAUGUACGGAGAGAAUCAGAAGGGUUGGUUUUCUUUUGGGAUUGGGAAACCCUGUUUGGAUUUAGGUGUCCAGAGAGGGGGGUGAUAGCGGUGUGGUACGAGAUCCUAGCGAUGGCGCUAGAUCUACAUGUUGACGAGGAGCAAUUUCGAGGGCGAAAUCUAAUUUAAGUGGGGGAGAGUUGUAACAUCCGAAAUUCCAUGUAUCAUAAUUUCAUUAUUUAUUUUGGGUGCAGAAGAGGGACUCGACGAGUUGGCGCUUAAACUCGUAGAGUAGGAUCACAACUUGCUGACUGGAUUAAUGAAUAGACUUGACGAGUCGGUAAGGCGACUCGAUGGGUCCGAUCUGUGGAUAGAAAACCCUAAAUCUUUGGGCCUGUGCCCUAUUUAAGGGUCCUUAUAGCUCUCAUUUGCGGCUACCAUUCCGGAGAAAAGAACCAUAGUGAGCUUGAGAGUAUACUGUGAGAGGAGGAGCCAUCUUGAGCCUUUUUGGUGUGAUUUUGCAAAUGAAGAGAAGGGAUUCAGCAGGAAGGACCAAAGGAGGUUGUGAUUCUGAGAAAUUCAAGCAUGGAUCUCCUAUUUGAUGUAGUGAUUCGACCCUUUCUUCCAUUUAGUGUAGAAUCCUUGAACCUAGGGUUUUCUUUACCCUUUCAUGGUUAGAAUAUGAUACAUGUGAGCUCCCAUUGAGAAAUAGACAUUGGAUCUGGACCUUAAGAGGUCCAGAGAGCCCCAGCCUUCCAACUUUAUUCUGUUCCAUUGGAGUUGUGAAACUAGGUUGCUAUUUUAGGAACUAUUUCUUCAAAUAAGGCCAUAUGAGUGUUGCAUGAGCUUAAAGAUUGGACCUUUACAUGAUUAUUAGGUGUUAGAAGGUUAGAUCUAUAGGUUGGAGAAAUAGAUAUGACCUCAGAAGGUCAUUUGAGUGUUACCAUGGAGGGAACUCGCCGAGUCCAUUAGGGGACUCGACGAGUCGAGUCGGGUUACCCCGCGAUUCGUGACCCAUGGUAACCCGUCGAGUGAAGGGUUAACUCCACGAGCCGAGUGGGGCCAUAAAAGGAUUCAUAGGACACGCAUGGACUCGCCGAGUCACCCAGGUGCACUCGACGAGUCUGGUCAAAGUUGGACCGUUGUUUAGAGUUAACUUCAGUUGACCUUGGGGUUUUGUUCAAGCUGAUUCAAGAGAGUUCAGAGAGGGGUAGAAUGGUCUUCUACCCAUUAUUAGAGAUGAGAACGUGAGAGAGUAUUGAUUAGAGAUGUUGUCAUUUUGGAUAGGAGGAGGCUAGGUCGGGAUAUUGAGCACGAGAGUUUAUCCGACUUCAUACGAGGUGAGUCUUCUCACUAUACUUUACCUUGAGUGGUAGUUACGUGUGACCGGAAGGUAUUAUGUGCUUACAUUUAGUAUUAUGUUAUCAUGUUGUAUGUGACAUGCUAUGCAUUAUGUCUUUGUGAUUUAUGCUAUGCAGAGUUAUAGACCGGAUCAGAGGGUCCAACGAUUUAUGAGGCCGGAAGGCUCAAGCAGACCGGACCGGAGGGUCCAACAAGCUUAGGACCGUAAGGUCCACAAAGUUAGGACCAGAGGGUCCGCAGAGUUAGGGCCAGAUUGUCCACAGAGUUAGGAUCGGAGGGUCCAUAAAGUUAGGACCAGAGGGUCCACAGAGUUAUAGUAUCGAGUGGCUAAUAUGUGUUGUAUGUGGUAUUUUGGGGGAACUCAUUAAGCUUUGUGCUUACCGUGUUAUGUGUUAUGUGUUUCAGGUUUUCUCAGUAUCUCGGGACGACACCGACUUGAUUCUACACACCAGUGAAAGAAUUAUGUUUCGUGGAUCCUGGAUUAUUAAGUAAUUAAGAAGGGAUUGUGUUUUGUAAACUAAACAAAUGAUGUUUUAUGAAAUGUGUAUUGAGAAUCAUAUGUUUUUUAAAAGAAAAAUUGUCUUGAAAAUUUACAGUGUUACAUAAGUUAUGGAUGUGAAAAGUCUCAUUCAUUAGCUCUUUAAGUUAUGAAUUCCAACAGUCUUCAAAGGUUACAAAAUUUGUUAUAAAUGGCUUUGAAGAGUUUCAUAACUUGCCCUCAAGUUAUGGAACUUGGAAAGUCUCUUUUAUGGAAUCCUAAAAGUUUUCAAGAGUUACAAAACUUGCCCUCAAGUUUUGUAAUUUGAAAAGUUUUUUUUAUGAGACAUUGAAUGCUAAAACUGAAGUUAUUUGAAAAGUUUUCAAAAGUGUAACUCAUGGGUUCAUAACUUAAUAAUAUAUUAAAUAGUUUUAAUUUUGUUUUAGCAUCGUGAUGUUUUGAAUAAUUCAUAUUACAUAUUUAUGGACUUUAUUAAUAGUUAAUUAAAGUGUUUAACUAAAAGAGAAUUAAUAAUUUCAUAAUGACAUGGUUUAAGUUUAAUUAAAUUAAGAGUAUAGUUUAAUUAAUAGAUUAAACAACUUAGUAUUUUAAAAGUUUAAAAUACACCCUUAUACAAUUAUAAUAUUAAAAUUUUAUUAUAUUAUUUGUAUAAUUAAAAACAUGGUCUUACCGUUAGUAGGUCUCAUUCACGAAGCCGGUUUAUAGGGGGGAGGGGGGGUAUAAGGUCACUGCAUAUAAAAUGGGGGUUUAAUGUGUGUCCACUCCCACCCACCACUUCCUUGACUGUUGGUGGGUCGUUAGCCAAACAGUUAGGAUAGGACAUUAAUUCAAAUUAAAAGUAUGAUGAAAAUACCAAGUAACUAAACAUUUAUAAAUUCCCAAUCUUAGUUACUUAGGAAAAAUGUGAAUUUGGUGCUAACCCAUGAAAUUGCACUUUGCACCUUGUUAAGUCGUUAGUGGAGCGCGUGUGGUUAACCGGCACACUAAUCUGGGACUGACAGUGUGUGGAAAAGGGUAGCUUGAUGUUAAGCAUAGAUCAAUGGAGCGUGUGUGGUUAACCGACACAUUGAUCAGGUGAUCUGUAACAUUAAGUAUACUAAGCUAAUUUGCAUGGUUAUUCAUACCUUGUUUGUGAUCCUCAACAUUCCAGUCACAAACUUGAAGGGCACAAUCGAGAUUUAAACAUGUCAUUGAAAAGUUUAAUGAAUCUCAAAAUAUCUAGGAAUUUCAAUUCAUUUAAAACUUAAUAAUCAAUUUUGUUUUUCAUGGUGAAUUGGUAAAUCUUCAUUUAACUACCUUUAAAUAUUUUGCAAUUGGAUUACGACAUCCCUCUUCCAAAUUGUAAAAUAUUGUGUUGGGUCCUAGCCUUAAUAUUUCAUUUUGGGUGUUAUAUUAAGGACUUAAAUCAACUAAACUUGAAUUUAUCCAUGUAGAUGUCUAGUUUUGACAACUAUGGUCUUCCUAAAUCUUUUGGAAAAAGCUUUCCUAAUGAAGAUGAUAUCCCACAUGGUGAUCAAGGUGAAAGAUUAAUCCCUUUGUCGUGCAUUAGUGGGACUGGAAAUCAUACUUCACUUCGUCCACCUCCUCCAAUUCUUCUCCCUAACCCACAUGUUCAAAGAGUUGAAAAGUUCAAGGUCAUUCAAGCCCUAUUGGUAAGCAAACACAAAGACGGAAAUUAUGUAUGUGCUUACAUCUUGGAGAGGAAGUUACAUAUUGACAGGCUGGGAGAAUUGGGUGUCGAAGUCUCAAGGAAGUUGGCUGGUGACUGGGUUCUUCAGUCACUUCCUGAGUCAUAUAGCGGGUUCAUUAAGGACUACCAUAUGACAGACCACGACAUGACCCUUAUUGAUCUUACCUAUUUGCUAAUUGCUGCUGAAUCAUAAAUGAUUUGGGGCACUGGUAAAGCAAAUGUGAAUGGAAGAUGAAUUUCCCAAGCUUCCAUGGACUUUGAGAAUGGAAACAUUGGAAGUCCAGAAAAGAUUUCUAUUUCCAAGGGAAAGGGAAAGGCUAAGGCUGAGAUUGUCUCAUGUGCCGAUGCGAAAGAAGUCAUUUGUUUCUAUUGCCAAGAAAAAGGGACAUUGGUUGCGAAGCUGCCGAAUCUACCUAAAGGAUCAUAAGGAUAGUAAAGUCAGAGUGUACGAAUCUGCUUCAGGUAAGUACACUCUCUAACUCUAUUAAGUUCCUAUUUGGAGAUUCUUAAUACAUGAUGUAAUGUAAUUACAUUUUGAUGUUUUGUAGAAUCAAAGAAAAGAAAGGAAGCUUAAAGGAAGAGUAAGCUGAUUCUGAUUGCGAAGAGAUGGAUUUCGUUCACAUGGUUUGAUGAUCAGAAUUUUGAGCUGCUGCUUAAGAGUUAUGAUAGAUUGCUUAGGAAUACAUAACAACAUAGUUUUCAUUUGUAUUUUCAUUGUAAGGAUAAGUUUCCGCAAUUUUAUGAAUAAAGAUUUUUUUUUGAUUUUUAUUUGUAAGUCUCCUUACGAUGGUAUUUGUGAAAAUUUUUGUUUAUAUGUUUCCAUUGAUAGCAAUAUAGGAAAAUGGAUUGGAUUCUUUUGUUAGUGGCAGAGUCACAAUUUACCAAAUAAGGAAAGAUUCUCAUCACCCAAGUUUCAAUUGGAUAGAAACUCGUAAUCAUGCAACUUUUAUUGUGUGAUGAAUGAGAACCUUCAUCUUUGGGAAAUUAAGACUAAUUCCUUAUUCACAUGUAUAUGUGACUCAGGUGAAGGACUAGGCGAUUGGGUACAUUUGGUCGUGCACUUGUCAGGUCCACCGUAAGGAGCAGUAAGCACUACUAGAAAAUAGACCUUUAAUGACGCGCUUUUUACGACACGCGCUGAUUAAUGAUACGCAAAAGGACGUGCACUUAAAAUAGUGUCAUCUCUCCAAAAAAAAUUAAGGAUAUAUGUCACGCAUUAUUGCAUGCCCUUAAUUUAGUGUCUCAAUAAAAAAAUUAAAAACACGGAGGGCGCUUUAUCUUAAACGCGCGUCGUCUGUACCUGUCGCUUUAUAAUUUUAAUGAAACGCGCUUUUAGUAGACAAGGGGGAAACGAAAUCCCAAAAUUUUGAAAACCCUCCUUGUUUUUUCUAUCUUCUAUCUAUUUUUAAUCCUUGAAAUCCAAUCUCCUCUCUAUGAUACUCUCUCCUCUAUAUCUCCCUUCAUUCUCUACCUCCCGUCUCUCUGUAAACCCUAAGCCAUCGCCACCUCCCUUCUCUAUAACACGUGCUAGAGUUUUAUUUUCAUCCAAGCUUCCACUUCUCUCGUUUUCUCUCAACCCAGUACGUGCAAGGGUUAUGAAAUAUAGAAAAACCCCAAUGCUCCGCAAAGACUCCUUUCUGAAAAAUAUCAUGUAAAGUCGUAGAGACGGAGUCUGAAAUCAUCAAGAGGAGAACAAGAAGAUAAAGCGAAGGUGAAUCGUAAUUGAUCUGCGAGGUCUCCACAUCAAUGGCGUCGACCAAAUCUAAAACCUCAAAUUCAAACUGGGGAUUUAACCAAACCAUUAACCCCUUUCAUUUUUCAUCAAUGGCGUCGACCAAAUCUAAAACCUCGAAGGUGAAUCGUAAUUGAUCUGUGAGGUCUCCUUCUUUUUCUUUGUUUUCUCAGGUACGACAUCAUCCCAAUCCAUUAUACCCUUUCAUUUUUCAUUAAAAAAAACCCUAAUUGACAUGGCAAGUUCAUGAACCAGAUGUAGCAUAUUCCAAACUGGGGAUUUAACCAAACCCGAUAGAGCCAUUGACGGAAGCUUUGGAUUCGGUUAACAAGGACUCUCUGUAAUCGUGCAGCUUUCUUCACAAGGGAUCGCUGUAGGUCUUCAAUCUAUCAAUAUACAAUGGCCAUUGUCAAGUUACAUCGAAUUAAUGUAUAGGGUUUCAAAUGCUUCAAGUUCUUCCCAAAUAACUUCCCCUCUCAAGACGAUUUUCCUCAUAUUUCUAUCGAACUUGGUAGCUGUUGAAUCGGUGCGUAUCGGUGUCAAGAACCUGCCACGAGAUCUGUUGUAUUUAUGAAUGAGGAAGAUUUGGUAAGGCAACUCACUUGAUCUUCUACCUCUCUCAUGUUUUCAACACAUAAAACACAGACCAACCUUGAAGAGAAAUUUCAAGCUUUUGAAUAAGAAUCCUCAAAAACCAUCGUGAUUUCAAAUGAAACCCCUCCCCCUAGAGUCCAGACACUUCUACUCUGUCGAUAGCACAUGAAAUCUAGGUUUUCUAUUGUUUCUAUCGACCAGAGACUUUCAAUGGAGAAGACAAAACCUGGAAAGAAAGAUUCAGAUGCCUAGAAAUUCAAGGGCAUAAACAAAGUUUUUCAAUGUAUAUCAUCUCUCUCUCUCUCUCUCUCUCUUGCUUCAUCUACUCUUUUUUUAUUGUGUUCUUCUGAUAUGAUAAUCAACAAUCUUGUUGCUCUAUAAUAGAGUCGAUUCAAGUGACCAAAGGUAAUUAAGCAACAUAAUUAAUCAAAGAAUGUUGCACCAGGCCAAGAAGAAGAAAACAGUCCACAUUCCUAAUGGAGCUGAAAGUCAUGUAACCAUUCAAACUCAUUUAACUAUCUAUUUUUACUACUUUUUAGCUAAAUACUUAUCUAUGUUCCAGUUGAUGCUCGAUUUGGGAUCCAAUUAAUGGAUAUUAACUAUAAUACCAACAAACUGCAGUUGGAUUUUUUUUUCUUUUACAUGGAGUUAAUGAACCUUCCACGACACGGAUAUCAUUAGUAAAUAUGAUGUAUCACGGUUGUUGACCAUUGGAAGUUAUUGUUAGUAAAUAUGAUGUAUCAUGGUUGUUGACCAUUAUAUAUAUAUAUAUAUAUAUGUUCAGGAACUUAAAUCUUUAUUCUCCUAAUUAAGUACUUUUUUUAACUUGACUUAAUGUGGUAAUGUAUAGACAACUUGAUAUCUUAUAUCUGGAUGUAGUCAACAAAAUAAGCAAGGACAAAAUGGUAAGAAAUUUUCAAACUUGACUUAAUGUAGUAGUAAUGUGUAGUCUGUAGACAACUAGAUAUCUGGAUGUAGUCAUACAAAUAAGCAAGGGCAAAAAGGUAAUAAAUUUAUGAUUAUGUAUGCAAUAUUAGCUUAAAAUUCAUGUUUUAACUAAAAAGAUAUAUCUUUCCUUACUGCAGGGAUGGAUACAAUGAUUUCAAUACUUUCUACAUGCAAGUGAGCUUCACGUAAUUAUUAGCCUAAAUUUUAUGAUUUUCUUCCAAUCUUUUUUUUUUAUCUUUUUUAAUUUUGUAUUUGUUUUUUUCUACACACACACACACACUAGGCUGCUUCAGAUACUAAAGGUGGUUCAAGUGGUUCUCCAGUGAUUGAUUGGCAAGGAAGGGCAAUUGCACUGACUACUGGCAACAAGACUUCUAGUGCUUUGACAUUUUUCUUCCUUCUAGAACGCGUUAGUUAAUAAUAAAUUAUCAAACUUUAUUCUUAUUAUUUAUAUUUAUAAAGAAAAAUAUAAAAAAUGACAACUUAUAUAAAUAAUAUUGUUGCAGGUGGUAAGGAUUUAAAUUUCUUACAAAAGAGGAGAGAUUUUGGUCAAGAUAAGUGGGAGGCUGUCUCAAUACCUCGUGGUAGGCUAGGCCUGCAAACUGACACAAAUAAGGUAUGUGGUUUUAUACUUUUAUGGGUUGAUGAUGCCUACGUGGACAAAUGAUGUAGGUGCAAGGUGGCCCAACUUAUAACCAUUUAGAGCCAUGUGACGUACUUGUUCGCAUGAAUGGUGAGGUAUCUAUAUGUAAAAUAUAAAAUAUAAUAUAAAUAUCACCAUAUUUCAUACCAACAAAUACUAAUUUAUAAGUGUGUAUACAGGUGACUACUCAGUUUCUGAAAAUGGAGACUUUACUUGAUGAUAGUGUUGGCCAAAAUGUGGAGUUACAGUUUGAAGGAGGUGGCACACCUUUAACUGUUCAGUUAAAGGUAAGUAACUAUAUUCUCUAAUUCUCUAGAAUCAUGCCCAGAUUUUGUAAAAGUCAAAAUACUAGUCAAUGAUACUAAAAUUCUCCAUAUGUUAUUGUUAUCUUCAAGUGGAAGAUUUACACUCCAUAACUCCAAACCAUUUUCUUGAAGUUAAUUAGUGGUGCUGUUAUACACCCUCUCUCCUAUCAACAGGCUAGGAAUUUUCGUUUUCACUAUGGUCUUGUACAUCUAUUAGAACCUGGCACCUACAUCAUAUGUACAUGUAGGCAUCAUCAACCCAUAAAAGUAUAAAUGGUUAUAAGUAUGAUUAUGAAACCGAGAAAUUAAGUUUUAACUGUUAAUCUUAAUUCUCUUAAUUAAGUACUUUUUUUUUUCAGGUGGUGUUUCUUCACCCUAUUCAUAAUUAUGCUAUUAUUGCAUAUGACCCUUCUGCCCUUGGAGCUACUGGUGCUUCAGUAGUACAAGCUGCUGAACUUCUUCCUGGUAGGAAAUUUUUUGUUAUUGAGCUUGACACAGUACUAUUACUAUACUAAUACUAUAUGCAACACUUCAAUAACAUAUUUUUAAAGAGAUGAAUGGAUAUUUUAUAGAGUUUAUCAUGGUGAAUGUAGAUUUUGGUAGCAGUUUUUCAGGGGUGCUUACGGAUGAGGAAGGAAGGGUUAAAGCUAUAUGGGGUAGCUUCUCAACUCAGUUUUGUACUAAUCAUUGAUCAAAAAACAAAAAGAAAAGGAAGGCUGGUUGGUUGGUUUUCUUUAGUAUUAUUGGAAUCACUAAUAGGUCAACUAAUGCUCUAAUAUUUAAAUCCUAAUUUCAGAUAAAAUACAGGGUGAAUUCAUCUGAAGACCAUCAAUUUGUUAGAGGCAUUCCUAUACAUUCCAUAAGCCAAGUCCUUGAUAAAAUCAUAUCAGGCGCAAAAGGUCCCUCCCUUCUUACAAAUGGCGUAACAUGACCCAUUCUUCUAGUUAGGAUUUUGGAUGUUGAGCUUUAUCCUACUUUGCUUGCUUUCUGAUAGAGAAUGGGUCCUAUAUAAAUAUAGGGGCAAAGAUGGAGGGACUUAUUUGGAAUAUUUAUUAUUUACUGUUUUACCCCCAUUCUAGAAACACCUUAGCUAAGUAUAAAUAAGAGUGAUAGGAGUAGUGGGGAAUAUCUUCUGGUUUUGGUUAGAAAGAAUCGGCUAGCAAUAGCUUGGGCAGGAAGGUUAAUCAUUAGGUUAUCUUCUCUGAAUUAGGCAGGAAGGUUAACCAUUAGGUUAUCUUCUCUGAUUUGAUUUGUUUCGUUGUAUCUGCAUUUCCAUUUUACUGAAAUUGAAGCUUUUUUCCCCUUUCAAACCCAUCUUUCAUUUCCUUGUUUAUUUGUUGGUUAUUGUUUCUAUCACUUUCUAAGGCUAGAAGUUUUGGCCUCAACAAUAAUUGGAUCAAAGUAUGUUUCAUUUUUUAAUUUUUUUCUUAUCGUCAAAUUAUAUGUAUAAAUUUAUAUUUUUAUAACUUUGUUGUCAGGCUCUUGUGAAAAAGGUUCCUGUUAGACGUCAAGUUCUACAGGUGAAAGGCUGUUUGGCAGGAUCUAAAGCUGAUAAUUUAUUAAAACAAGAGGAUAUGGUGUUGGCUAUUAAUAAAAUGCCAGUUACAUGUUUCCAAGAUGUUGAAGAUGCAUUUCAUGCAUCGGAUCUUUCUGAUAACAUGGAAGAGAAACUUGAAUUAACCAUAUUUCGUCAGGUUUGUUUAAUCAAAUAUAUAUGGCUCUUAUUUGUUGACUUAAUGCGUAAAAAAGAAACAGUUCCUUAGAUUAUUUUAAUUUAAUGAUUUUUAUUUGUGAUUUUUUUCUCAGGGAUGUGAAAUUGAAGUUGUUGUAGGAACAAAUAUAAGAGAUGGAAAUGGUACAAAACGUGUUAUAAAUUGGUGUGGAUGCUUUGUACAUGAACCUCACCCAGCAGUGCGUGCCCUUGGCUUUCUUCCUGAACCUGAUCCUGCUGGUUUCCAUGAUCAGUUAAUACCAAAUGGAAACACACUUCCCUUUUGAUUGUUUAUUAUAGUUAUACACUUUCAUUUCUUCUUAUUAUAAUAUGAAAAUUCACUCAAUUAUAAGUAUAAUGUUGUAAUAGAAUGAUUUAGAAAAAACAUAUUUGAAAAGUGAAUAAGGGGAAACUUGUUAAAAGUUAGGACUUGAUAAGGAUAGUUAAAAUCACAUGUUUUGUAAGGAUAGUUAAAUUCACAUGUUUUGUGAAAACGUUAUUCAUCUGGAAACCAACUAUUGUUUGCUAAACAGGAGUAAAAACGUUAUUCAUCUGGCAAUUCACAUGUUUUGUAAGGAUAUGUAAAUUCACAUGUUUUGAAUCAUUUAGACUACAUGUUUCCCUCUUACAUUAUUUUUGUUUCAUUACUCUGUAGGGUGGAGGGAUGCUCUUGACCAAGCUACAAAGGAAGGGGAGAUAGAGAUACAUUAACUGUUGUGGCGCCUAUUGUUAAAAAAGAAAAGUGCAAUAAAGCUUAUGAUGAGGACAUGAUAUCUGAAACAAGAAGGUGCCCCUUAAUAGCAAUGUAGUAUUAGGUUAUAUAGUUAGAGAAAACCUCUUAAUAACAAUGUACAAUCAGAUUCUUUUAAUAUCAAUGUAUUACAAUUUUUUGACAUAAUGUUAUUGGAUGAAAUCGAAUGUUUUGGUAUAUAAUUUUUUCUAUAUAUUUGUAUUAUGCGUAAAAGAGUAUCGUAAAGGCACGUCGUAUAUGCAUAUUGUAAAUGGCUGCUAAAAUUUAUGACACACAAAUGCGUGUCAUCUUCAUUUAUGAUAGGGGCUAUAAUGAUACGCAAUGCAUGUCCUAAAUGCGCGUCCUAAGGUUACGACACGCAAAUGUGUGUCUUCUUCCUUUAUGACAGGGCCUUCCUUGAUACGCAUUACAUGUCGUAAAUGCACGUCGUAAAAGCGUGUCGUAAAUGAGCGUCGUCUAUAGAUGACGCACAAAAGCAUGUCGUCUCUCGUUAUGAUAGGGCCUUCCUUGACACACAUUUUUGCGUCGUCUGAGCGUUUUACGACGCGCAAUGAGUGUCGUAAAAGGCCUUUUUCUAGUAGUGAAGACUAUUCGUCAUGAUUUACUAAAGUUUAGUAAAUAUGGUUAUGCUUACAAGAUUAAGUAUAAUUCUGAAUCGUUGUAAAAGUUUCAAUGUGUAGUAGAACGAAUAAAAAGAAUCAAAUUAGGCAGAAAGAUAAAAGCUUCUCCAAUCUGAAAGGAUGGGAGAGUACCUUAGUAUUGUGUUUUAUGAUCAUCUUCGAGUCAUACUCCAAGAUUGUAACUUGAGUGACAUAAUCUUAAGAAUGGAUUAUAACACUUGUCAAAUGCAGAGUAAAAUGUUUUCUACUCUUGUACAUCUGAAAUUGGUAAGGUGUGAUGUUUUGGAUAAAACAAAGGCCAACUAAGACCAAUGGUGUGAAGUCUUAGUCUUGAUAAGAAACCGCACUAACUCUUCAAUUUUGUUUUUCAAGUAAUGUCGCUUGACAAAGAGAAAUUUAUAUGUCAAGAGGUCAGUGGGAGUCAUAAAGAUCUUGAAAAGGUUCAAGAACUUUUCAAGAGUAAACCUAUUGUUAAUCACUAGCUCUCGAUUUGAGGUUUAUAACCUAUCGUGUUGACAUAUUCUUGUUUCUGUGCCCAUUCCAGUUGAAGUUGACUAUGCAUGUGAGUUCUAUUAGUGCUAAAUUUUUUGCAUAACAACUUGGAAGCAAUGGUAGGCGCUUGUGCUGCCACGUGGCAAAAAAUUAAGAUUGAACAAGUUCAGUCCAUAUGAGUUUGUAUUUGUCACUAACCUUGUCUUGUGAUUAUGGUUAUGGAAAAUUCACAUGGAUAGGAACACGUACACCAUAAAAUCAAAGUUUCAUAAGGUUUCUCUCCACUUCAUGAAAAUGAUUGUGAGGAAACGGUUUCACCAAGUAGAUUUUAAGAAGAAAAAACUUGUGGUAUUUGCGUUCUCAAAUUCGAUUAUGAUUAUGGCAUCCCUCUUCAUAGUUCAAAUUGUGAGAAAUGGCAAAGGUCUAAACAUUUGAUACUUAUUGUUGUAAGUUAUAAAAUUGUUUAGACACACAUGUCGGCUAUCUAAGGAAAGGUGUAUGAGUUUGAGAAGCCUAGAUAAAUUCUUAUCGAAGCAUCUCGUGUCAGAAAUUAGAACUUUGGUAAGGAAGUCAAUAGGUAUUGAUUUCUAGAUGUCCAACUGAUUUCUGGGUACAUGUCAAAGCUAGUGGGAGCAUAAGUGUUAUGCUAGUAAGAUAUUAAUUAUUAUGCUAGUGGGAGCGUAAUUAUUAUGGUAAGUGUUGCAAGUUAGCAAUGUUAAUUAUUGAAAACAAAAGUUUUAAAUCGCAAAGUUAUAGGGUUUGAAAAGUUGUUUUGCUAUAAUUAAGGGAGAGGAUUUCAUACUUCAUCUCAAAUCUAAAAGCUUAGUUUGAGAUUUUAAUUGAAUUUAGUCAUGGACAUAUGUGAAUGUUAUGUUGAAAUGAUUCAACAUAAGGAAAUUCUAUAUGUGGAAAUAUUAUAGCGAAAGACUGGUAAACUAUCAUGUAUUUAUGUGAGACAUUAUGAAUCGUAUUCCAUAUGGUUCAGAUAUAGGAUCGAUUACAUAUGUUAUAAUAUUAUUAUGUUCCAAUUUUCCAAAUGCCUAGGGCAUUAAGAGGGAAAAGGGACUAGAAUGAGAUACGACUAAAAUGGUUAAGCAAUUGUCAAGGACAAUUUGAGGUUUACCAAAGAUUGGUUGCUUAUGGACAGUUGGAAGUAUAUUCUAAAUUUUGGAAAGGACCAUAUUGACAUACUCUGAGAAGAGGUAACUCUUGUUCAGGAGUGAUAGUCAAAAUGGGAAUAUGGAAAUGUUUCCAUAAGUGGAAGUUAUUCUUUAAAUCUGUGUAAGAUUAGGAAACUUAAUACAAGAAGGAUGUUCAAAGGAAUGUAAUUUGAAUGUGAGAAUUCGUUUCCAUGGAAUUGCUCUCCAUUAGAUUACUUUGUAAUGUUUGUUGCCAAGCCUCUAUGACUUUUGUGCAUAGUCAUUACAAGAGGAUCAUUGCAUAUAAGUUUAGAAUCUAACAGAUUACAGUAAAUGGCAAGAAUUUGGUAUUAUUACAUUUACGGUAAGGAUUUGAAAUAGUGAAAUGAGUUUCAUUGAAGAUGUGUUCAAUUGAUUUAUUUCACAAAGAGAGGACCAUAGGCAAACAUAGUGUGCAUGCUUUUAGCAUGGGAUAACUAUUGUUUUAAUUCAAGUAUUAAGUUGAUUAAUCGAAACAUUAUACAAUGAAUAAUGUGUAAUCAAUAUGGUGAUUAAAUAAAAGGUGUUUUAUUUAUAUUCAUGAGUUCUGAGACCAUACUGGAUUCGAUUAUUCUUGUGUUUCACUUUGCAUGGUUUGACUUCCCUAAUAACAAGGUCAUUCAAAUCUUCCACAAUCAAUCAUACUUUGGAAGUAGGUAUUGAAGCUAGAUUGUCAUGAAUGGGUCUGUAGAUUGUCUAAAGGCAUUUAGACAUAGCACAAGUUUGCUGAAGUGUUCAUGAGUACUUCUGGAAUAAGAUUCAAGUAUUGGAUAAAACCAUGCUCAUCUGAAUGACUUCAUGGAUUUUAUCAUGAGUGAUUGUGAGACGAUAAUAUCUUAUAUUCUUGAAACCAAGACAUAUGAGUUGUAGUUUGCAAGUCGAUUGCACAUUGACAUAUGUAAACGUACCAGUAACUUGGUGUUAUAAAACAUAUUGUUGUGUGUGAUUUGAUGAGUAAGUACAAGUAAGAAUUUGAGUCGAAGUUUAUCCAUUCCUUUUACCCAAAGUGGGAUAAAAGCGAUAUCUGUGAGCCCCUCAAUGAUUUACUGAUGACAACCCUAAGCGCUUGGCUAAGCCUGGACUGAUUUGAUUUGUUCAAUUAGUCGGUCGUCAUAAAUCGGAAAUCGGGAAACAACAGAUGGACAGAGAGAAUGAUUAUAAUUCAUGUCUCAUGUCCAUAUGUAUCUAGAAUGGAGGAAUAUAUGAUCCCUUAUCUAAUGGAUGCGUCAUUGACUAGGUCAGAGUUCGUCAGCGGCUUUUAAGAGCUACGAUUGCUAGUCAGGAUUUUGGAGUUGUGCUUACAAUAAUAGUUAUUAGACUUAUCCAAGUGGGAGACUGUUGGAUUAAGUGUCUAAGCCCAUAAAUAUAAUUGGUAUGUACUUAACCCGAGAGUAGCAUGGUCCAUUUCGGGUUGCAUAUCACCAGAACAAUUUGAUAGGAUGGACACUUGAGUUAGAGGUUACUUAUGAUUUAUUAAUAUAUUAUAAGUUCUAAUAUAUUAAUAUGAAAUCAUAUUAUUUAAUUCCUAUUGAUCAAGAAUUAAUUAUGUGAUCAAAAGGGACUAAUUAAAUAUAUGGGGAUUGAUUUGGUAAAGCAAUUAUUCUUAUAGUGUGAGCCAAUUGUUAUUUAGGAUGGGCUAAACCAAUAUGGUAGUCGAUGGAUAGUCCAUGGAGGUUUAAUCCAUGGAGCCUAAGUAAUAUGAAAGGUCAUGGGCAUUAGGGUUUGCAUGGAUGUAACCCUAGACUUUGCCAUACUAUAAAAGGACUCCCUUAGCACCCAAAAUGGGCCACUAGAGUUCUUGGAGUUCAUUAGAGCCGAUUUUGGAGCUAGAAACAUCUCUCUCAAGUUCUCCUUUGUCCUAGGUGUGUUGUGAACCCUUUGAGGCAUCACACUUGGGGUGAUAAGUUCUUAAAGGCCAAAUACAACAAGUUCUACAAGCUAUAUAAAGAGGUAAACUCCUAACUAGUAUUUUAUGUUGUUUAUGUCAAUUAUAUGCUAGUUGUAGGCUUAAUGCUUUGGAAGCAAUAUUGCAUGUAUAAUUAGAGAAAACAUAGAUCCAUGUUUAGGGUUGUAUGUGCACCAUAGGAUGUUGUAGUAUACUAAAACCCAACAAAAACCAUAUAACACAGAUGGAACACUAGCUCUACUGGAGCGCCUGAGAGGUAUGGACUCGUCAAUUGGCUCAACAUGAGUUUCCUCCUCAGGUUGAUUGCUAGUGUUUGAGGUUCCUUCACCACUUGAAUCUUGAAGCUAUACAAGGUCAAUUUGCCUCCCACUGUCUCCUUGGCCUAUGAUUUCUAUCUCGCGAAAGACUCCUCUCCUCGCAACGAAGACAACAUUGUCACUCGGUCCGUAGAAGAGAUAUCCAAAGGAUUUCUAUGGGUAGCCGAUGAAAAUACACCGCUCACUACGAGGUUCGAGCAUCUCGUGAGUCUUGCGUUUCAUGAAAGCCUCACAACCCCAAACCUUGAUGUGUGCUAAUGAAGGAACCUUCCCUGUCCAUACCUCGUGAGGUGUUUUGGCAACCUUCUUAGUUGGGACUAAAUUAAGGAUAUGGGCGACAAUCUCUAAGGCAUACCCUCAGAAUGAGAUAGGUAACGAAACUCGACUUAUCAUGGAACGAACCAUGUCGAACAGGGUUCGAUUGCGCCUCUUAGCUACACCCUUAAGCUAUGCUGUCCUGGGUGGCGUCAAUUAUGAAACAAUCCCACAUUCCCUAAGAUAGUCUUUGAACACGAUACUAAGAUACUCACCACCCCGAUCAGAUCGUAGCAUCUUUAUCUUCCUGCCUAAUUGAUUCUCCACUUCUUGUUUAAACUCUUUGAAUCUCUCAAAGGUUUCUGACUUGCAUUUAAUUAAGUAGAUAUAGCCAUAUCUUUUGUAAUCAUCAAUAAAAGUCACAUAGAAGCAGUUAGCAUCCCUCGUAGCGGUCCUCUAAGGUCCACACACAUCGGUGUGUAUGAGAUCCAAAAAACCUUCACCCCUUUCACAAGCACCAGUGACAGGUGACUUGCUCAUCUUUCCAAGUAAACAAGAUUCACAAGUGUCAUCCGACCUUAAGUCGAAUGACUCCAAAACUCUAGCCUUUUGGAGUUGGCCUAUGCACUUCUUGCUGACAUGUACAAGACGACAAUGCCACAAGCAUGCCUUAUCCAAAUCAUUAAAAGAAUCAAUGUGCAACACAUUAUUUCCUAAGUUGUCUACAACCAUCACAAUUUCAUAUACACCAUUACAAGACAAUGCUUUAAAAUAAAAAACACCAUUAUAAAAAGCAUUAAUAGCACCGAUUUCAUUAUCAAAUGAAAAACUAAAACCUUGUUUGUACAAACCAUGAAAGGAAAUAAUAUUUCUCGCCAUUUAAGACGAGUAGCAAAAAUUAUUAAAAUCUAAUUCUAACCCACUACUAAGCAAUAAAGAAUAAAGUCUAAUCUUGGUGACAGGUGAAACCUUCCUAUUCGCCACGAUCAAGUUCAUCUUCCCGUGCUCCACAUCCUUACUUCUUUUUGGUCGCUACAAAUCAGAAAAAAAUGUGAAAUCCACAACCUGUAUCAAGGACCCAAGAACAAAAAUGUGAUGAUUUAUUAGAUCGAAUAGUAUAAAUACAUGCGUGGGUGGCCUUAACCUUCCCAUCUUUGACAUCCUGAAAGUAUUUGGGGCAGCUUCGCUUCCAGUGCCCUUUCUCAUGACAAUAGAAACACUCUGCUUCCUUAGGAAUAGUAGAGGGAGCAACAGAACCGGCCUUGGUCCCACUUGAAGAGGGUCCAUCAAGAGACUUUCCUUUGUGGCUAUUAGAGGGAACCUUCCUCUUCUUCCCUUUCCCAUGUCCAAUUGCCAAGACAGGGGCAGUAGCUGUAGGAGUAGAAACAAAUUUAACUUUGAGACUACUUUCAGCAGUCCUCAAAAGGCCUUGAAGCUUGCUAAGAGUGACCUCCUCCUUGUUCAUAUGAUAUGUCAUACGGAACCGAUCAUACCAUGGAGGUAAAGAGUGUAGAAUGAUAUCUAUGGCCAACUCCUCAUUGAAGUUCACAUUCAACUUCAAUAAGCGGUCCACAAACCUUUGCAUUUUCUACAAGUGGGCCAUGAUGGGUUCACCAUCCUUCAUCUUAGUUGUUAUCAUGGAGGCGAUGAUUUCAUACCUCUCUUGAUGAGCACUCUGAUGGUAUCUUUCCAUCAGUUCUUGGUGCAUCUCAAAAUGGUAGAAGUCCUCAUAGGACUUUUGGAGUUCAACUAUCAUGGUGGCCAACGUGAUACAAUACAACUUGGUGGCAUCCUUCUCAUGAGUCCUAAACUCAAUGAUCUCCUCAGUAGUAGCAGACGAAUCAUCGAUUUCCUUAAGCUCCUUAUUGAGGACAUAUUCCUUGUCCUCAUAGCGAGUGAUCAUCCUGAUGUUCCUAAUCCAGUAUUUGAAGUUGGUACCAUCAAAGAUGACUCUCCCACACAAGUUCAUCAGAGAGGAGCCAGUAGGGUUUGAGCCAGAAGCAGUGUUGGAAGACAUCUGAAAAAGAAAGAAAAAGAUUAGAUUAGAUAAUAAACCUUAAUAUAACACCAAAAAAGAAAUAUUAAGGCUAGGACCCAACACAUUAUUUUACAAUUUGGAAGAGGGAUGUUGUAUUCCAAAUGUAAAAUAUUUGAAGGUAGGUAAAUGACGAUUUACCAAUUUCCACCAUAAAAAACGAAAUUGAUUAUUAAGUUUUAAUUGGAUUGAAAUUCCUAGGUUCCUUUGAGAUUCAAUGAACUUUUCAAUGGCAUGUUUAAAUCUCGAUUAUGCCCUUCAAGUUUGUGACUGGGAUACCUUGGAUCACAAACAAGGUGUGAAUAACUAUGCAAAUGUGCUUGGUACACUCGAUGUCAUUUAUCACCUAAUCAAUGUGCCAGUUAACCACACACGCUCCAUCGAUCUAUGGCAAACAAGAAGCUACCAUUUGCCACCCUUACUAGUCCAAGUUAAUGUGCCGGUUAACGACACACGCUCCAUUAACGACUUGGCAAGGUGCAAAGUGCAAUUUCAUGGAUUAACAUCAAUUUCACAUUUUUCCUAAAGUAACUAAGAAUGAGAAUUUAAUAAAACAUUUAGGUACUUUAUAAUUUUCAUUAUACUUUUAAUGAAAAUUAAUUUCUUAUCCUACCCGUUCGGCUAACGACCCUCCACCAGUUAAGGAAGCGGUGGGUGAGAGUGGACACCCAUUAAACCGCCAUUUUAUUAACAGUAACCUUAUACCCCCUUAUAGACCGGCUACGUGAAUGAGGCCUACUAACGAUAAGACUGACUUGUCUUAUACAUAUAUAUAAUUAUUAAACUUUUAAUAUUAUAAUAGUAUAAGGGUUGAAUUUUAAAGUUUUAAAUUCUAGGGUUUGGAAUUAAAGUAUUUAUAAGUGUGACUUUCCAAAUUCCAAAACUUGAGGGCAAGUUUUGAAACUCUUCAAAACUUUUCAUUUCCAUAACUUAUGAGUUUAAUGACUUUUUAAAGAAAAUAUUUUUCAUUUUCCAUAACUUGAGGACAAGUUAUGGAGUCCACUAAAGGCAUCCAUAUCAUUAUUUUAAUUAACACAAUAAUCAAAAUAAUUCAUCCAUGAUUUAAUUAAACUUAUAAGAGCAAGAUAAUUCAUAUCAACAAUCUUCAAGAAAUUAGCCUAAUCAUAUAAACUAACACAAAUCAUGAAAUUAUGACAAUUAUCUUUUAAUUGGACAAGCAUGAUCAUUACUAUAUCAAAAACAGAUUUCAUGGUUAAAAAAAACAGUUUGGGGGUAGUGAUCCUAAUCCAAUUCUGGCCAAAAACACGAAAUUCGUCACACAGGAGCAUCAACUCGGCGAGUACAUGAACUGGACUCGUCGAGUUGAUCGAGUACUGAGUGGAAUCGUCGAGUCAGCCAGUGGACUCGGCGAGUUCACCAGUCCGAAGGCAGAAAAUCGAUUUUUUCAUCUUUGAAAACCAAUAAGCAUCAAGUAUAACAGAAAAACAAUCCUAGUCUCUGAUACCAUUGAUGGGUUUGGAGCACUCUAACGACCUUAUGGUGCACAUGCAAUCCUAAAUGCUUUGGAUCUAUGUUUUCUCUAAUUAUACAUGCAAUUUGAUUUUCCAAAGCAUUGUCCUAACUAGCAUACAAAGCAUGGGUACUUGAAUAACAAAACUAGUUAGAUGACUUACCUCUUCUUGUAGCUUGUUAACUUGGACCUUUAAGAGCCUAGCACCCCAAAUGUGAUGCCUAAAAUGUUUCACAAAACACCACCAACAAUGGAGGACUUGAGAGAGAGUGACUUGCAAAAAAAAUCGGCUCUUAUGAUCUCCUAGAACCACUAGUCCGAUUUUAGGAGCUAAGGGGCUUCUUUUAUAGUGUGUCAAAGUCUAGGGUUACAUCCAUGUAAACCCUAAUGGAAAUCACCUUUCAUAUUACUUAGGAUCUAUGGGUUAAACCUGCAUGGACUAUCCACGGACUACCAUAUUGGUUUAGUCCAUCCUAAAUAACCAUAGGCACACACUAUAAGAAUCAUUGAUUUACCAAAUCAAUCCCCGCACAUUUAAUUAGUCUCUUUUGAUCACUAAAUUAAUUCCAAAUUAAUUCUUGAUCAAUACUAAUUAAAUAAUAUGAUUUCAUAUUAAUAUAUUAGAACUUAUACUAUAUUAAUAAAUC
rnacentral:lncRNA from 1 species